AGAGUUUGAUCCUGGCUCAGGAUGAACGUUGGCGGCGUGCCUAACACAUGCAAGUCGAACGCAAAUAGCAAUAUUUGAGUGGCGCACGGGUGAGUAACACGUAGCUUACCUCCCUCCGAGAGUGGGAUAACGUUCCGAAAGGAAUGCUAAUACCGCAUAAGCUCACGAGCUACAGAGGCUUGCGAGAAAAGGGGAAACCCGCUUGGAGACGGGGCUGCGGCCCAUCAGCUAGAUGGUGAGGUAACGGCUUACCAUGGCAACGACGGGUAGGGGACCUGAGAGGGUGACCCCCCACACUGGGACUGAGACACGGCCCAGACUCCUACGGGAGGCAGCAGUGAGGAAUAUUGCACAAUGGGCGCAAGCCUGAUGCAGCGACGCCGCGUGAGUGAAGAAGGCCUUCGGGUCGUAAAGCUCUUUUCUGCGUGACGAGCAAGGACGGUAGCGCAGGAAUAAGUCUCGGCUAACUACGUGCCAGCAGCCGCGGUAAAACGUAGGAGACAAACGUUAUCCGGAGUUACUGGGCGUAAAGGGCGUGCAGGCGGUCUGUUAAGUCUGGCGUGAAAGCUCUCGGCUAAACCGGGAGAGGUCGUUGGAUACUGGCGGACUAGAGGACGGUAGAAACGUGUGGAAUUCCGGGUGUAGUGGUGAAAUGCGUAGAGAUCCGGAGGAACACCAGUGGCGAAGGCGACACGCUGGGCCGUACCUGACGCUAAGACGCGACAGCAUGGGGAGCGAACGGGAUUAGAAACCCCGGUAGUCCAUGCCGUAAACGAUGCCAGCUAGGUGUUCAGGGGGCG
rnacentral:rRNA from 1 species